AGCAGCCGCGGUAAUUCCAGCUCCAAUAGCGUAUAUUAAAGUUGUUGCAGUUAAAAAGCUCGUAGUUGAAUUUCGGGGUCAGUAGGUCGGUCGUGCCACUGGUAUGAACUGGUUUUACUGAUUCCUCCCUCUUGAAGAACUGUAAUGCCAUUAAUUUGGUGUUGCAGGGAAUCAGGACUGUUACUUUGAAAAAUUAGAGUGUUUAAAGCAGGCUUUAGCUUGAAUACAUUAGCAUGGAAUAAUGAAAUAGGACGUUUGAUCCUAUUUUGUUGGUUUCUAGGAUUGACGUAAUGAUUAAUAGGGAUAGUUGGGGCAUUAGUAUUCAAUUGUCAGAGGUGAAAUUCUUGGAUUUAUUGAAGACUAACUUCUGCGAAAGCAUUUUGCUAAGGAUGUUUUCAUUAAUUCAAGAACGAAAGUUAGGGGAUCGAAGACGAUCAGAUACCGUCGUAGUCUUAACCAUAAACUAUGCCGAACUAGGGAUCGGACGAUGUUAAUUUUUAAUGUACUCGUUCGGC
rnacentral:rRNA from 1 species